UGUUAUUUCUCGAGUCUUUUUUAGU
rnacentral:siRNA from 1 species